GACGAACGCUGGCGGCGCGCCUAACACAUGCAAGUCGAACGAGCGAGAGAGAGCUUGCUUUCUCGAGCGAGUGGCGAACGGGUGAGUAACGCGUGAGGAACCUGCCUCAAAGAGGGGGACAACAGUUGGAAACGACUGCUAAUACCGCAUAAGCCCACGGCUCGGCAUCGAGCAGGGGGAAAAGGAGCAAUCCGCUUUGAGAUGGCCUCGCGUCCGAUUAGCUAGUUGGUGGGGUAACGGCCCACCAAGGCGACGAUCGGUAGCCGGACUGAGAGGUUGAACGGCCACAUUGGAACUGAGACACGGCCCAGACUCCUACGGGAGGCAGCAGUGGGGAAUAUUGCACAAUGGGGGAAACCCUGAUGCAGCGACGCCGCGUGGAGGAAGAAGGUCUUCGGAUUGUAAACUCCUGUUGUUGGGGAAGAUAAUGACGGUACCCAACAAGGAAGUGACGGCGAACUACGU
rnacentral:rRNA from 1 species